GCCUUGAUGGUGUAGUGGUAACACACGUCCCCGUCAUGGGUGAAGCGGGUUCAACUCCCGUUCAAGAUC